GUCGCAAGCCAAACGGUUGCGGGAAUUAACCGAAAGGGAGAUUUUCGAGGAAAGUCCGGACACCACAGAACAGGGUGGUCGCUUAUUACGACCCGGGGAAACCCGCGGGAAAGUGCCACAGAAAUACACCGCCUAAGGCUCCCAGCGCUUGCGCUAGGAGAACGGCAAGGUUGAAAAGGUGCGGUAAGAGCGCACCAGCGUCAUGGUGACAUGGCGGCUAGGUAAACCCCACCCGGUGCAAGACCAAGCAGGGCCAUUGAAGCUGUUCGCUGAGGUCCAGGUAGGUUGCAGGGGCGCAAGCCCCGGCCGAGAAAUCGCAAGAUUUUGAGGUCAGACAGAUAACCGUUCAACGACAGAAUCCGGCUUACAGGCUUGCUAAAGAA
rnacentral:RNase_P_RNA from 1 species